CGGCGUGCCUAGUACAUGCAAGUCGAGCGAAGUUUUUCUGGUGCUUGCACUAGAAAAACUUAGCGGCGAACGGGUGAGUAACACGUAAAGAACCUGCCUCAUAGACUGGGACAACUAUUGGAAACGAUAGCUAAUACCGGAUAACAGUAUUUCUCGCAUGAGAGAUAUUUAAAAGUUGGUUAUGCUAACACUAUGAGAUGGCUUUGCGGUGCAUUAGCUAGUUGGUGGGGUAAAGGCCUACCAAGGCGACGAUGCAUAGCCGACCUGAGAGGGUGAUCGGCCACACUGGGACUGAGACACGGCCCAGACUCCUACGGGAGGCAGCAGUAGGGAAUCUUCCGCAAUGGGCGAAAGCCUGACGGAGCAACGCCGCGUGAGUGAAGAAGGAUUUCGGUUCGUAAAGCUCUGUUGUUAGGGAAGAAUGGAUAUGUAGUAACUAUACAUAUAAGAG
rnacentral:rRNA from 1 species